UACGGGGGGAGCAAGCGUUGUUCGGAUUUACUGGGCGUAAAGGGCGCGUAGGCGGCCAGCACAAGUCAGUUGUGAAAUCUCCGGGCUUAACUCGGGAAAGGUCAACUGAUACUGUGCGGCUAGAGUGCAGAAGGGGCAACUGGAAUUCUCGGUGUAGCGGUGAAAUGCGUAGAUAGUCGAGAGGAACACCUGCGGCGAAGGCAGCUCGCUGGGACGGUACUGACGCUGAGACGCGAAAGCGUGGGGAGCAAACAGG
rnacentral:rRNA from 1 species